GAUGAACGCUGGCGGCGUGCCUAAUACAUGCAAGUCGAGCGAACGGACGCUAAGCUUGCUUCUCUGAUGUUAGCGGCGCGCGGGUGUGUAACACGUGUAUAACCUACCUAUAAGACUGGGAUAACUUCGGGAAACCGUAGCUAAUACCGUAUAAUAUUUUGAACCGCAUGGUUCGAAAGUGAAAUACGGUCUUUCUGUCUCUUAUAGAUGGAUCCGCGCUGCAUUAGCGAGUUGGUAAGGUAACGGCCUACCAAGGGAACGAUGCAUAGCCGAGGUGAGGGAGGGAUAGGCCACCCUGGAACGUGGACGGGGACAAGACGACUACGGGAGGCCGCAGUAGGGAAUCGUCCGCAGCGGGCGAGAACAUUACGGAGCAGCCGGGCGCGAGUGAUGACGGUCUUCCGAUCGUAAAAACCUGUUAUUAGGGAAGAACAUCUGUGUAAGUAACUGUGCACAUAUUGACGGUAACGAAUCAGAAAGCCCCGGCUAACUACGUG
rnacentral:rRNA from 1 species